rnacentral:hammerhead_ribozyme from 1 species
AUCCAUCUGAUGAGCCUCAAAUAAGACGAAACGUGCGUUCUGGAU